ACUCAUUAUCUUUUGUCAGUCCUUCAUUCACGUAACUUAGCUGCACUUCCCAUUUUCUCAAUCCUUUCUUCUCCUCAAUUUUGCCACUUCCUUUCCAACCAUGCCUGUCCUUGAAACACUUGGUGGUGCUCUUUUUGGUGCUGUUCUUCAGGUGUUAUUUGACAAGCUGGAUUCUCAUCAAGUUUUGCACUACUUUCGAGGGAGAAAUCUCGACGAGAAGCUACUGAAGAAGUUGAAGAGGAAUUUGAUGGACAUCAAUGCUGUGAUAGAUGAUGCAGAACAAAAGCAGUUCAGUAAUUCAUUGGUCAAAGAAUGGGUUGAUGAGGUUAGAGACGUCUUGUAUGAUGCAGAAGAUCUGCUGGAGCAAAUAGACUAUGAAUUCUCCAAGACUAAGUUGAAAGCUGAAUUCCAGACCAGUUCUAGCAAGGUCCACAGUUUUGAAUCCAAGAUCAUAGCACUCAUAGAUGAUCUAGAAUAUCUUUUGAACCAAAAGAUUGUUAAAAAUCUCAAAGUUUACAGUGGCGAUAGAUCUGGGUAUGGUAAUAAGGUGUCGGAGAAAAAAGUUGAAUCAACGUCGUUGGUGGCUGAAGAGGUUAUUUAUGGCAGAGAUAAGGACAAAGAAAUUAUCUUUAGCUGGCUGACAUCUGACACUAAUGAUAAUAAGCUGUCAAUACUUUCUAUUGUGGGUAUGGGUGGGAUGGGUAAGACCACACUUGCUCAACAUGUAUACAAUGAUCCAAAGACAGAGGAAGCUAACUUUGAUGAAAAAGCUUGGGUUUGCGUUUCUGAUGCAUUUGAUGCUUUGAGAGUAUCCAAAACAAUUAUUGGAGCUUUCACUAACUCAAUAUAUGGCAGUGGAGACCUAGAAAUGGUUCAUGGAAAAUUGAAAACAUGGUUGCCCGGAAAGAAGUUUCUUCUUGUUCUGGAUGAUGUUUGGAACGAAGACCGAAACCAAUGGAAAGCAUUACAAACGCCUCUUACGUUUGGAGCUAAAGGAAGUAAAAUUUUAGUCACAACACGCAGUCACAAAGUUGCUUCUAUCAUGCAGUCAACCUACAUACUCCAACUAAAGCAAUUAGAUGAAGAUCACAGCUGGGAAACUUUUGCUAAACAUGCAUUCCAAGAUGAAAACUCUAAGUUGAAUUCGGAGUUAAAGGAGAUUGGCAUGAAGAUAGUUGAAAAGUGCCAAGGAUUGCCUCUGGCCCUUGAAACAAUAGGAUGUCUUUUACAGUCAAAGUCAUCUGUUUCAGAGUGGGAAGGUGUAUUGACAAGCGAGAUAUGGGACUUACCAAUAGAAGAUAGUAAAAUCGUCCCUACUUUGUUGCUGAGCUAUUACCAUCUUCCUUCUCAUCUCAAGAGAUGUUUCGCUUAUUGUGCAAUAUUCCCCAAAGACUAUAGGUUUGACAAGGAGAGUUUAAUUCUCUUAUGGAUGGCUCAAAAUUUUCUAUAUUGCUCUCAACAAAGUAAGUCUCUAGAAGAAGUAGGUGAAAACUACUUCAAUGAUCUAGUAUCAAGGUCAUUCUUUAAACAAAUAAUUGGGAACAAGAAAACAUAUUUUGUCAUGCACGACCUUCUCAAUGAUUUAGCAAAAUAUGUUUCAGGUGAAAUCUGCUACAGGUUAGGCGUUGAUGAUGAAAAAAGAGUAUCAAGGAAGACCCGUCACUUAUCAUAUGAAAGCGGUCCUAUUCAAUGUGAUACGAGUUUAUGUGAUGCUAAAGGGUUACGGACAUUUAUAACCUUGUCCUGCGAUCGUAAGAUUUCAAUAGAAGAGUUAAUCUCCAACUGUAAGUUCUUACGAGUCUUAUCAUUGCAUUGGUGUUUUACGGUGCCUGAUAGUAUAGGCGAUCUUAUACACCUCCGCUUAUUAGACCUUUCAAAUUCCGACAUAAAGAGACUUCCUGACUCAACCUGUUCACUCUAUAACUUGCAAGAGUUGAAGCUAAACGAUUGCAUGCGUUUGAAGGAGCUGCCCUUGACUUUGCAUGAGCUCACCAAUUUGCGCCGCCUUGAACUGAUGGGAAAUACUUUAAUAAAGGCUCUACCCCAUUUAGGAAAGUUGAAGAAUCUUCACGUGUGGAUGGGCAUGUUUGAGGUUGGCAAAAAUAGUGAGUUCAGUAUUCGACAAUUAGGAGAACUUGAUCUUCAUGGAAGGCUGUCAAUUAAAAGUCUUCAAAAUAUCGCAAAUCCCUACGAGAUGAAUUUGAAGAAUAAAAGACAUAUUGUGAGGCUGAGUUUACAAUGGAAUUUGAAGGAGAACAAUGCCGAUUCAAUGAAACAAAGAGAAGUACUUGAGAAUUUGCAACCUUCUAGACAUUUGAAGUACUUGUCAAUCGAUGGCUAUGGUGGCACACAAUUUCCCCGUUGGCUAUAUGAUAAUUCUCUAUCGAAUGUUGUGUCCUUAACCUUGAAGCACUGUAAAUAUUGCCUACUGUUGCCUUCCCUCGGACUAUUGACAUUUCUCAAGCACUUGGCAAUAGAUGGCCUUGAUCAAAUACUGAGGAUAGAUGCUGAUUUUUACGGGAAUAGCUCUUCUGCAUUUCCAUCCUUAGAAAUAUUGAGCUUUACUAAUAUGAAAGAAUGGGAAGAAUGGCAAUGCAUGAAGGGUGCUUUUCCAUGUCUUCAAAGUCUUUCUCUGAUGAAUUGUCCCAAGCUGAAAGGAAACUUGCCAGAACAACUUUCUCUUCUAAAGAGACUGUCUAUUAGACGUUGUGAACAACUUGGGGCUUCGAUUCCCCUGGCAAUAGAAAUGGAAGGUGUGAAGAUGGAGCCAUCUUCAUUUGAUAUGAUAGGGCCCCUCGUGUCUGAUACUCCGCUUGAAUUCUUGUAUAUUGAUUUUUGUCCGGGUAGGAAUAUUCCCAUAAACCAUUGCUACUAUUUCCUUGUAGAUUUAAAUAUCAAGAAAUGUUGUGACUCUCUCACGAACUUUUCCUUGGACUUGUUUCCAAAGCUCUCCCACCUUUCGUUAAACAGGUGUCAUAACCUACAGAUGAUAUCGCAGGGACACACUCAUGGUCAUUUGAAGAGUUUGGAAAUUAAAAAGUGUCCUCAAUUUGAAUCAUUUCCCAAUGAUGGAUUAUUUGCACCUCAGCUAGAGACAUUUUUUAUCAAAGGAUUGGAGAAAUUGAAGUCAAUGCCUAAAUGCAUGUCUGCCCUUCUUCCAUCUCUUAAUCAGCUGUACAUACACAGUUGUCCAGUGGUGGAAUUGUCCGAGGGAUGUUUGCCAUCAAAUGUAAAAAAAAUGUCGCUUCUGCAUUGCUCCAAACUUGUGGCCUCCCUAAAGGGGGCUUGGGGAACCAACCAUUCCUUAAAAGUCUUGGAUAUUGGCAAUGUGGAUGUGGAGUGUUUUCCGGGUGAAGGUUUGCUCCCACUUUCUCUUAGUUAUCUAGAGAUAUCUGAUUGUCCAAAUCUUAAGAAACUCGACUUCAGGGGACUCUGUCACCUCUCCUCUCUUCAGAAUUUGACUCUUCUUGACUGUCCUAUACUCCAAUACUUGCCAGAGGAGGGUCUGCCCAAAUCCAUCUCACUACUCGUAAUUGAGGAUUGUCCGUUGCUCAAAUAGCGCUGCAAGAAACAAGAAGGUAAAGACUGGGAAAAGAUUGCUCACAUUAAAACUAUACUGGUUGAUAUUAAUGCCGAUGAAAAAUAGAAAAUACUGGUUCAUCAUAUUGAUAGUGUACGAGUAUUGAUAUAAGACAAAGCACACGUUGGAAAUUACUAAGUCACCAAUUCUCCGUAUGCCUACAUUUUCCUCAGGCUCUAUAUUCAAAUCUGUACCAGUAGGGACCGGGCAGCGUAUAGACCGGACGUCCGUAUGGCCAAUGACUACUUAAUUACGCGACUUCGUUACUCGUUAUUCGGAGGGGUCGGGCAACGUAUAGGCCAGACGUCUGUAUGACCAUGAUUAUCCAAUCACGCAACCUUGCCGCGGGUCGUCCGGACGAACAACAACUCAUGAGCUGGCCGACUGUAAGACCAAAUAUCAGGAGGCCGACCGACUCUACUGCCAGUUGACCAGAUUAGGAUUAAGAUUAAGGUAAAGUAAGUAGCUGCUAAAAGCUAUUGGGUCAAAGUUGGGCCGUGAUUAACUUUUCACUAAUCCCAAGCCCAUAACAAAAACUAUAAAUACAGGUUAAAGGUGAGUGGUAGGAGGCAACAUUUAUUGCACAUUUAUCACUGUUGUAUUGAAAAUGCCAUUACUUUCACAUUAACUUUGGCAUGGGAGAAUCUUUCGCAGGUUUUUCCCACCCGCACGCAGAGGAGUGAAAUAAAGAGUAAGAAGCGAGACCGGACAACCGAUAGACUGGAAGAGGAAAACGUGAAGAUAUUAGACGACUCAAUCCCUACAACCGAAACAAAAUCUAAGAUAAAGAAUAUAACUACCAACUAUGUUUUUCAAUGAAUUGUAAAAAAAUAUAUUUUUAGAGCUUUAAUUGACAAUAUUUAUGAAUAUCUCAAAGUGUAUAAGCUAUUGAAAAUAUUUAUUGUACAGACAAUCUCAAAAACUGUUUAUAAAGACAUUUUAAUUUUAACUUAAUUAAUUAUGAUAAGUGAUAAUCAAUUAUAUAUUUUAUUCUUAAUUGUUUGUAGAAGUACAACCUUGGAACAAUUUAAUUCAUUAAUGCUUGUCCUAUUUGGAUUUUCGCAUGGAAGCCUUACUGAUGACCAACGUGGGCGGUCGCACUGGUAGUUCUAACGGCCAUAUAAGUUCAAAAAAAAAAAAAAUAAAAUAAAAUAAAAUUGUAAAAAAUUCAUCAAAAUAGAAAUUUAAUUAAAAUAAAUUAUAUUGAUGAAAAUAGACGAAAAUAAAAAAUAAAAUAAUAUUUAAAUCAAAAUAUAAUUAAUCAUCUAUCGUUUAAAGGUAGAUCUAACUUUUAUGAUUAGAACAAAACAAUCUCAAAAUGAUAAAUUAUGAAAAUUUUAGAAUUCUUACUUCUGUUCAUGAUUAGAACUCCAA